rnacentral:rRNA from 1 species
CCUACGGGUGGCUGCAGUGGGGAAUAUUGCACAAUGGGGGAAACCCUGAUGCAGCGACGCCGCGUGAGUGAAGAAGGAUCUCGGUACGUAAAGCUCUAUCAGCAGGGAAGAAAAUGACGGUACCUGACUAAUAAGCCCCGGCUAACUACGUGCCAGCAGCCGCGGUAAUACGUAGGGUGCAAGCGUUAUCCGGAUUUACUGGGUGUAAGGGGGGCGUAGGCGGCAGCAUAAGUCUGGAGUGAAAUCCCGGGGCUUAACCCCGGCACUGCUUUGGAAACUGUGCGGCUGGAGUGCAGGAGGGGUAAGCGGAAUUCCUGGUGUAGCGGUGAAAUGCGUAGAUAUUAGGAGGAACACCGGUGGCGAAGGCGGCUUACUGGACUGUAACUGACGUUGAGGCUCGAAGGCGUGGGGAGCAAACAGGAUUAGAUACCCGGGUAGUC